UACGUAGGGGCUAGCGUUGUCCGGAUUUAUUGGGCGUAAAGAGCGUGUAGGCGGCCAGGUAGGUCUGCUGUGAAAACUCGAGGCUCAACCUCGAGACGUCGGUUGAAACCGUAAGGCUAGAGUCCGGAAGAGGAGAGUGGAAUUCCCGGUGUAGCGGUGAAAUGCGCAGAUAUCGGGAAGAACACCCGUGGCGAAGGCGGCUCUCUGGGACGGUACUGACGCUGAGACGCGAAAGCGUGGGGAGCGAACAGG
rnacentral:rRNA from 1 species